rnacentral:lncRNA from 1 species
CAACGUAUAUGUGUGGUAUUUAGUCAUGGAAAGAAGUGAAUUAUGGCGUCAAUUAGAGUUUUUAAAGCUACAAUCAUUAUGUCAUGGAUAAUCACAGGAUUUUAAUUAUGUUCUUUAUUCACAUAAAAGAUCAGGAGUAUAAAAGAAUCUAGUGGUCAAGGUUGGUUUAUUGAAUAUGAUAAGAAGGCUUGAUGUUGUUGAUUUACCAAUGAAUAGGAGAAGGAUUACAUGGUGUACU